rnacentral:lncRNA from 1 species
AGCCUUCAUAAAAACCUCAAAGGUUGGCGGGGGGGUUGUUCUGAGAGCUUCAAGGUUAAUGAACAUAUGGAGAUUAAAGAGAGUCGGCAUGCCUGGAGAAAGCAUGGAAUCUCCUCACCCUUUCAGUUUUUUUGUGUUGUGGAGCCAAUAUAUUUUGGCCAACUCUCAACCAUUUUUAUAAUCUGUUGGAGAGCCACAGGCCCUAAACAGUGUUCAUGUAGGCAAUGGAUAGUACAUCUCUUCUUGUGAAGUUUAAAUGACAUAAUCCACAUGAAGAACUUCGAACUGUGCAGACCCAUACAAAGC